rnacentral:rRNA from 1 species
UGGGGAAUAUUGCACAAUGGGCGCAAGCCUGAUGCAGCCAUGCCGCGUGUGUGAAGAAGGCCUUCGGGUUGUAAAGCACUUUCAGCGAGGAGGAAGGUGGUGAGCUUAAUACGCUCAUCAAUUGACGUUACUCGCAGAAGAAGCACCGGCUAACUCCGUGCCAGCAGCCGCGGUAAUACGGAGGGUGCAAGCGUUAAUCGGAAUUACUGGGCGUAAAACGCACGCAGGCGGUUUGUUAAGUCAGAUGUGAAAUCCCCGGGCUCAACCUGGGAACUGCAUUUGAAACUGGCAAGCUAGAGUCUCGUAGAGGGGGGUAGAAUUCCAGGUGUAGCGGUGAAAUGCGUAGAGAUCUGGAGGAAUACCGGUGGCGAAGGCGGCCCCCCUGGACGAAGACUGACGCUCAGGUGCGAAAGCGUGGGGCAGCAAACAGGAUUAGAUACCCUGGUAGUCCAGCGCUGUAAACGAUGUCGAUUUGGAGGUUGUGCCCUUGAGGCGUGGCUUCCGGAGCUAACGCGUUAAAGUCGACCGCCUGGGGGAGUACGG